UCCUGCCAGCUUACCUCCUUCCUUCUCUGGCAGCUUGCAUCUGAGCUGAUGGAAAGUCACAAUGGCUUUCCAGCUCCAAACAGAACCAGUUUCAUUGACACUGUAGCAUCUCACCUGAUGAGCUAGCAGAGACCAGAAAUUCAUUUCAAGGAUGCAAACUAAAGGUUGGGUUUGUGACCAGCCAGUUGUACUUUCUCUUCUUUGUACUGUAUCCAGUGAAGUCAAAUCCAGGUGGACAAGUCAUCAGUCUGAAUUGAUCUACCAAGGACUUGUACCUGUGCCAGAGCCAUUGGAAGAAACCUGACAGGAAGGUAGAGUCAGGUUCAAAGCAUAGCUGGAAAAAGAGAUGGGGAAAUGCCAGAGAAGAACUGAUAAGCUCAGAUCACGCCACGCAGAAGAAGAAGAAGGUGCUGUGGACUCUCAUUUCAACAUUGAUCUGACAUAACAUAAUUACUGUCAAAGUAGUCAUAGUAUUUUGUCUCCAUGGUGACAAAAAGUCCUCCUUGUUUACAUGGAAGUGGACACAGCAGUGCAAUUACUCAUUUAAGAUUAGGGAUUAAUAGGAAGGAAGGGAAGA